UGUUAUUCCUCUAAGCAUUUUGGUGUUUGACUAUUAAGGCUCUUUCAACAGUAUGAUCUUGUCUCAUAAGCCUCCAUUGCUCUUGAGCCUGCAAGGCAUUUAACAACUCUACCAAGGUGAACUUGGAUAGGCCCUUUGUGUUCUCCAAUGUGGUUAUUAAAGCUUCAUAUCUUUCAAGCACAAUAACAAGAAUUGUUUCUAUAUAAUUCUUGAAACAGUAAAACUAUUACCAAAUAACCUGACUUUAUUGAUAAUGCCAAGUAAUAUGUCCUCUUUGAUUGUCUUAGACUCUUUCAUCUUUUGUAGCUCGAAUUCCCUUAUUAGAUUCAACAAUUACAUUCCUUGUAUCUUUUCUUCUCCUGCAUAUUCUUCCUUCAGAUAAUCUCAAAUCUUUUUUGCUAUUUCGAAAGUCAUUAU
rnacentral:lncRNA from 1 species